ensembl:lncRNA
AGCCUGAGGAGCUGUGUGGCCUGUAAUCUGUACAGGCACUGUGGUUCAGAUUUAGCAUCCAUAGUUCUCCUCUAGAAACUGGACACAAUUAAGGCACAGCAGAGCGUGAGGGGGUUUUUUGUGCCCUGGAAAGGAGAGGGCUUAGUCCUUCUGAGCAGGAACAAAAAAUAAAUACAGCUGGAAUGAAAUCUCAAAUGAGAUUUCUCCUGCUCCAGCUUCCCCUGCCUGGCACAGCCAGCAGCAUUCCCUGCACACCCGAGCAGAAUCCCUCCUGCUCCAGGCAAACCCUGGAGAGGGAAAAGCACAGACAGCUCUAGACUGAAAUAUUCCUGGGAUUUCUCCACUCCUCCACGAGGGCUAAUCACACAUUUCCCCCCAAAUGGGAAAUUGCGCCUUUAUCAGCUCUCUGAAUCAGAUCUCCCAUGGAUAACUCGUUUUGUGCCCCCAUCCAUCAUCCUUCCAAAUGAGGAACUGCUCCCCAGCCCGGCUCCACAAUGAGAUCUGGGGGCUGGGGAAGGAGACAGAUCACUCCUGAUGCUGCCUCAGAUCCUCUUACAAGAGCCCUGGAGAUGGGAAAUGGAGAGAUGAGAAAGCAAAGAACACGUGGAGGAGUUCACAGAGCUGGAGGGAAUUACAGAGACUCCAGGAUUGAUGAGUGUCAGUGGGAGGAGGAAGUUUAAGCCACAAAACAGAGACACAAAGAGUUCAGAGAAAUUGAAUUUCAUUUUCCUAAUGAUUGGGAAUACCUAAAGAGCCUUUGAGAUGGGUCCUUCCAGCUCAGGACAAAGGAUGGGAAGGAAAUGGAAAAGAGGAAUCCAAACACGGUGGGGUCAAGCACUGGGGGACGAGAGAUCAGCUGCCCCACAGGGAGCACCAGUCAAACCAGUGGCACCAGUUACGAGCACAGAGCAAGGCUGGCUCUGACUUCUCCAGCUUUAUUCACCCCCUUGCAGAAAUGUGAGUCCAAGCAAAGAGGAUCAACUCAGGCCUCCAGAGGUGAAACGACUCAGUUCAGUGACAAUUCCAACAUUCCUGACAGAAUUCCAUCAGAACUGACGAGAUCAGGAUUAUUUACUGAUAUUUUCCUUUUCAGACACAGCUUGUCCUUUGUUCCAGCAUUUUCCCUGCAGCUGAAACCAAAUUCUUGCCUUUGGCUGCUCCUGCAAGCUGAAAAUCACCUUUGGAUCUGUGCUGUGGGUCCCAGGUGUGCUGGAACUGGAGCAGCAGCAGGGACAGUGCUCGGGGAAGGGUCCCUGCCCAGAGGGACCUCGUGGCCAAAGGAAAGCUGCACUUUAAGGCAGCCAGAAUUGAGGACAGAAACAAAUCAGGCCUGGGAAAAAAGAAAAAUAAAAAACAGGUGCUUUCAAGACUGACUAAAAAUAGCUUGCUCGGAUUUUUUGGUAAUGCCUUCAAAGAUAGGAAAUGGCAGGAGAAAUGAGAAAUGAGAAAUGAGAAAUGAGAAAUGAGAAAUGAGAAAUGAGCCUGGCUGUGCUCAGCCCACAGCCUGGGAGGUCGAGGGGACCACGGAGAUUGCCCCACACAGGUCAGCAGCACAGAGAUAUUUCCUGCCACUCCUCAGGUGCACAGGUGUGUGAAAAACGAGCUUCACAUCAUUUUUAUAGAAUUUAAAAAUUUAAUAAAAAAACAAUUAGGAGAGAAAAAUAAAGUAAA